rnacentral:rRNA from 1 species
GUCGGGGGAUCGAAGACGAUCAGAUAACCGUCGUAGUCCCGACCGUAAACGAUGCCGACCGAGGGCCCGGAGGAGUUACGUACGACCCUCCGGGCCCUCCCGCGAGAAAUCAGGAGUAUUCGGGUUCCGGGGGGGAGUAUGGUCGCAAGGCCGAAAACUUAAAGGAAUUGACGGAAGGGCACCACCAGGAGUGGAAUCUGCGGCUUAAUUUGACCCAACGCGGGAAAACUCACCAGGUCAGGACACGGUAAGGAUUGACGGACUGAAGGCUCUUUCUCGAUUCCGUGGAAAGUGGUGCAUGGCCGUUUUUGGUUGGUGGAUCGAUCCGUCUGGUUAAUUCCGUUAACGAACGAGACCUCGGCACUCCGAAUAGCGCGGCGGACGUCGCGGCCUCCGGGCCGUCUUCCGCACGAGCUUCUUAGAGGGACC